rnacentral:misc_RNA from 1 species
UGGUUCUGGCAUNGAUGAAGAACGCAGCGAAAUGCGAUAAGUAAUGUGAAUUGCAGAAUUCAGUGAAUCAUCGAAUCUUUGAACGCACAUUGCGCCCAUUAGUAUUCUAGUGGGCAUGCCUGUUCGAGCGUCAUUUCAACCCUCAAGCUCUCUUGCUUGGUGUUGGGGCUUCUGCGGCUUCGGCCGCAGGCCCUGAAAAACAGUGGCGGGCUCGCUAUAACUCCGAGCGUAGUAAUCUCUCUCGCUUAGGAAGUGUUGCGGUUCCCGGCCGUUAAACCCCCCAAUCUCUGAAAUGUUGACCUCGGAUCAGGUAGGAAUACCCGCUGA